UACAGAGGGUGCGAGCGUUAAUCGGAAUUACUGGGCGUAAAGCGCGCGUAGGCGGCUUUGCAAGUCGGGUGUGAAAUCCCCAGGCUUAACCUGGGAAUGGCAUUGGUGACUGCACGGCUAGAGUGUGUCAGAGGGGGGUAGAAUUCCACGUGUAGCAGCGAAAUGCGUAGAGAUGUGGAGGAAUACCGAUGGCGAAGGCAGCCCCCUGGGAUAACACUGACGCUCAUGCACGAAAGCGUGGGGAGCAAACAGG
rnacentral:rRNA from 1 species